GCUUAUGAUAAGCAAAGAAAGUGGUUUCUUGAGGUAGAAUCUACUGCUGGUGAAGAUUCUGUGAA
rnacentral:pre_miRNA from 1 species